CGGGAGGCAGCAGUGGGGAAUAUUGGACAAUGGGCGAAAGCCUGAUCCAGCCAUGCCGCGUGUGUGAAGAAGGCCUUCGGGUUGUAAAGCACUUUCAGCGAGGAAGAACGCUUGUGGGUUAAUACCCUGCAAGAAGGACAUCACUCGCAGAAGAAGCACCGGCUAACUCCGUGCCAGCAGCCGCGGUAAUACGGAGGGUGCAAGCGUUAAUCGGAAUUACUGGGCGUAAAGCGCGCGUAGGCGGCUUGAUAAGCCGGUUGUGAAAGCCCCGGGCUCAACCUGGGAACGGCAUCCGGAACUGUCAGGCUAGAGUGCAGGAGAGGAAGGUAGAAUUCCCGGUGUAGCGGUGAAAUGCGUAGAGAUCGGGAGGAAUACCAGUGGCGAAGGCGGCCUUCUGGAC
rnacentral:rRNA from 1 species